AAAAAAACGCGGAAGAUAGCGUCGGCUCUUUUUAAGUAUUAAACCUUGGUUAAACUGGACUUGUUUAAUAAUACCAGAAUAAAUUGUUAACUUGUUUAAGAUUGUUGUGUUUAUGGUGACGUCGAAGGUCACAUGACAAUGCUAACAUGGCCGAUGUAGUAUGUAUUUGGCCGGGAUUGUGUUCAUAACACACACAGAUUAGUACGAAUGUCAUAGUAUGCGAUUUUGGACGCACCACGAUGACGUCGAUUUGUAAGCAGUGUCUGUGUUUUAAGUCAUCAAUUCUUGAGGAAUUGAUAGUGUUACAUGCAGUAAACUGAAAAACUACACGUCCUGGUAGCACCAGCUAAAAUAGCUAAUUUUCUCAAAGUUCAUCUAUGGCAGUAACCAUGGUGACCAGUGUAAUCUUUUUCAUUUCCUUUUUAGCGUUUUUAUGCAAUUAUCUAAAUAACUAGCUAGCUAAAGAUGAGACAGUUGCGUCUAUUGCAGGCUCAGCUGGGAUUCGCAUACGAAAAUAGAUUACGAAUAAACUGAAACAAGUUUUUCAGCCUUGAAAGCAGUAUUGAAAACAGUCGUAAAAAUCGGGUAGGAAUAAAUAUCCUCACAGAGAUUAAUCCAGGGGUGUUUUGCAGGAGGUGGGCAGAAUCCAAACUUUAUGAAUUUAUCAUCUACAGUAUCCGGUUUAUCCUGAAUAUUCCUCAAUGACGCAGCUGUAAACAAACUGAAUAUGUUGUGUUCACAUGCUUUGUUGUCUGAGAGAACAUGGAACUUUGGGUGCUUCUCAUUUCUUAUUUGUGCAUCCUCACUUCCUUUCCUUGCAUCUCAGCUCCACCCCCUUAAAAUGCGAAGGAAGGAUGCAAGGAUGAGAUCUGGGGAGAGGAAUCAACACAAGUCGAAUGGGUUGCUUCUCAUUUCUUAUUUGUGCAUCCUCUUUUCCUGUCCUUGCAUCUCAGCUCCACCCACUUAGGAUGUGUGGGAAGGAUGCAAGGAUGAGAUCUGAGGAGAGAGGAAUUGGAGCAAGUCAAAUGGAAUAUCUUCACUCUCUCGAGCAUCACUUCAAAGCGACGUCACUUAAUGAUGACUGGGCUCAGCUGAAUGACCUCACUGUGCUUCAGGGAUCUGCUGUUAUGUUGUUGGAGCUCGGCUAAAUGCACUGAUAACGUAAAGGAGGAGGGGAAUUUAUACAUGCGUGAGGUUUUUCGACAAGAAGCACUUCUGCAUAGGAUACACCUGUGUAUCCUUGCCCCUAGCUCCUCUGGAAGCUUCCUCACGCCUCGUUCCUCGCCCUCUCACGGUGCAGUUAGAGAAUUGAGAUGUCCUUCAAGAUGGUUGACUGUGAUCAAUUUCCGGGUCACGGGCUGGAGGACAGAGGAGUGAGGAAACGAGGAAGCGUCAAUUUGAGUAUUGUGAAGCACCCCUGGAGGACACCAAGUUCAUUCAUACAUAUUUCUUGUUUCAUUCUCUUUUUUUUUUUUUACUUUUAAUUUGACACCAUAACACGUAUUACGCCAUUAGCUAGCUUGCUGACGAUAAUGGAAUUUUGGUCAAAUACAAGCUAUUUUCACAGGUGUAAAAAUGUACAACAUGCAUUGAAUGCUUGCCAAUAUACAUAAAUGAAUAUGACCAAAACGACAAGUACUAACAAUUAGCUGCCUUUAGAAAAAAGAACAAAGCCUUUCAUUCAGUACAGAAACUGUACUCUCCUUCCAUCUCGGAAACUCGGGUAUCAAAAUUAUCUCUGAGUUUCCCAGUCGUAAUUACGACUUGAGGAGUCAUUCAUGUGCAACUUCCUAGUGUGAAACUCGUAUUUCGAUCAUUUCGAUAUCACGUGAAGACAGCAUCAUUAAACUCAGGGUGGGAUUUAGGGAGGUGUUGUGGUUGGAUCCACCCCCGACGCUCCACCCAAGCCUUUUUAAGACUUUUUUCCCAUUAUUUUGUGCAUUCAUUAAAUUACAUGUAUCAGAUAAACUUGGGGGGGGGAUCAUGCUGAAAUAGCCCACAGUAUUUACUAGUCUACAUUUUUACACUACACUAUAUGGCCAGAUGUGUAUGUGGACACCCCUCCUAAUGAAUGAGUUCGGGUGUUUCAGCCACACUCAUUGCUAACAAUAGUGUAUAAAAUCAAGCACAUAGCCAUGCAAUCUCCAUAGCCGAAUUUCUGCCCUGCUAGAUCUAGCCUUUAGAAAUGUUAUUUUCUGUGAACAUAUUUAUUAUAUGUAUUGGUAUAUUAAUCAUAGCAAAAGUAAAUCAUGUGAAUGAGGAAAAAACGAUUGGAGCAGUAGGCAUAAAGAGCAGGAAAAUACAGGGAAAAUCCUUUACCUAAGAUUUUUGUUUAAAAAAAAAAGAAAAAAAAGCCUUCCAUUCUUCACUGAGGUUGAGAUAAUUAACUGAUCUCAUGAAAAGGCUUGCCAAAAGCUGGUUUCCCAUGAGGAAACCAAAAUACAGACCAUUUGAAGUUGCCAAGGCCAUUAAAUGUUUUUCCACAGUAGAAUAAAAAGCAGACUAUUAUUGCUCUGAAGGGUUUAUGAAGAGUAACCCCAGCUUCAGUAUUCAGAAGCCUGAGAAAGUCUUUCCAAGAUUAAAUGAAAAACAAGAAAAGAAAAAUCGAAUCAGAUACACAUUUCACUUGUAAACAUAAUGUGCAUUUUUGCUUGAGAUACACAUGGAAUAAAACAUGAUGGCUAGUGUUGUUACAGGAAAAUAAUCCAUGCCCAGGACGUGACACCAUCCCCAAAAUGGUUUCAGAUCACCCGGAAAUGGAUUGUUUUCACAAAGCAGCCCGCCCCAAAGGGUUUCAUUCCAAAUAUACCACAGCAAUUUGCCAACAAUUAUAAUUUUUUCAUUUAUUGAUGAAUGAUACAUCAUGUUUUUCAAAGCUUUAUAGCAUUUAAUGUUAUGGGACAUCCAUGAGAAAGCUUAUUUCCUGUUAUUUUUCCCUGGUUUUCUUGUUCAAUCCUGAGAUCGUGUAUACUGUAUGUGUGGAGUUUCACAUGUUCUCGCUAUGUCCAUGUUGGCUAUGGCUAUGUACUCCUGCAUCACUAAUUCUUUUGGGAUUGGCUACAGAUCCACCGUGACCCUAACAAUUAUAAGGAUUUGGAUGACUAAACAAAUGAAUAUGAGUAGAUCUUGUAAAAACAAAUGAUACAGUAUGGAUUAUAAUAGUACACUGUAAAAAAUGCUGGGUUGAACAUUUUGGGUCAUUGAAUUGGGUUAUUUUCUCAGUUUUGGGAUAGUUUUGUGUAACCCAAAUGUUGAGUUAAUAGCUGGGUCAUUUUCACUGACAGCUGAACCAAUGCACCCCUCUCGGACUCUGAUGCCUCAGCCCAGCUCCUUGGGUCAAAUGAACUCAGUGCGGACUGUUUGACUUCGCCUCAGGUGAAUGGUUUUUGAGAUGAGGAAACCAAACGACCACAGCUUUUCAAAUGGAUGGGAGCGGGACUCUUGUCUUCCCAGAUGGCAGGGAGAUUUGUAAGAAGAUGCAUGAACUCCAAUUCUUACAUCUUACAAAUGUUUAAAUGGUUUUAAUAAAUGUCACCUGAAUUUCAUGCAAUUGUUUGUUUAUUUUGUGAGUAUUUUAGUAAAAUUUUAACAUGCAAACAAACUGCAUUUUAGGAUAAUUGUAGGGAAAAAUGUAUAAACAACACAUCUGCGUUAUUUGUGGAAAUGUUUAACACAGCAUGUUUGAGUGAAGAUUCGUAGCAAUAUAUUUAUCCAUAAAACCGUUAGUGUACACUAGAAAAGCAAAACUGUAGGAUAACAGUCCAGUUUACAUGACACUAAAUGCACUGCUAUCUUCAUUAGCAUUAGCUAACUUGUUUGUAAUGCUCACUGAAUCGUAAGUUGGUUACUCCGUUGUUGUUUUUUUGAUGUUUUAAACGUCUCCUUUGAUCAAACUCUGACAUUUUCAUUUUAAAGAUAUGACUUUUUGAGUCAUUUACUCCAAAGUAUAUAUAUAAACACUACUUUAGCAGCUCUAGCAAUGUAUUUCUGAACACC